rnacentral:lncRNA from 10 species
CAGGCGUGAGCCACCGCGCCCAGCCGCUCUUCUACCUACAGGUCACAAUAGCAGGUCCUGCUUUGACCUCAUUUUCAGAUGAAGAAACUGAGACCCAGGAGGGGACUGAGUCCUCCAGUGAAUCCUCUGAAAAUCCUCUGAACCUGGCUGCAGAUGAGGGAGAAGAGAGCCUAGAGAAUCUCAAGGGAAGAUUUGGGGCCAGAUCCAGAAGGGGCGUUCCUAACUCUUCCUAACACAUUCCAUGAGCUGGCCAGAACUCAGUCUCGCAGUCCACCUGGAUGCAAGAAUGGUGGGCUAGCAGUGUGUCCAGGAAGAAGACAACACGGGUUUGUGAGAAAGCGAACUAGUUUCUGUCUGGGAAAAACAGGAGAGGAGAAAGGCAGUGAAUAUUUGUGAAAUAUUGACCAGCCAAUUGGCACUGGACUUUAUACAUUAUUUCAUUUAAUCUGGUCUAGACUUUGGGUUCUCCUUAUUCCCGUGAUGGUAUAUAUUUUUUUUAACCUCAGUCCCAUAUGGAAGGUAAAAUGGAAACAAGGGUAUUUCUCAUCCUCCAUUUCUCUCCCAAGAUACGUUUUAGACCUCAAGGGUCUCAUUAAGCCAACAAUCUGUCUUCUCUAAUUACUGAGAAGAGGAUCUUUUGGUGAGGUAUUCUCUAGCCUACCCUCCAUAAUCUCAACCAUUUUCUUGUCCCCUUUGAAAUCCCACAGGUCCUGCAAGUGAUUAACAGCUAAUCUUGUCAGCUAUUUUCAGAAUCUCUCCCCUUUCUCUUCUGACAUAAACUAUUUUCAUUGUAUCAAUUAGAGUUCUUGGUUGCAAGCAAAAGAAAUGGGCUCUGGUUGAUAAACAGAAAAGGAAUUUGUUGAAAGGGUAUAUAAGAAUUCACAGAUUGUAAAAGAAAAACAGGAGAACUAGGCUUGAAAAGGGCAUAAGAGACUUCCAGUUAAGGGUGGUGGAUUGAGCCAUAUGCCCUUUAGCCCCUUUUUUAUUUCUUCCAUCCUGCUGCCUGAAACUUGGCUAUAAUGGUUGCAUCUCCAGCAGCCAUUUUGUGAGCAUGAGGAAUCAUGGCAGACGAAAGCAAAUACUAAGGAUAGUGGAUUAAAACAUAGAAGGAACCUGGGUACUGAUGACCAUGAAGCCAUCAUACCAGUACUGGACCACCUUCCUCCAGAAGAACAGACAACAAAAAAUGGAUUAAGGCACAAGACCACCAGCCUGUGAUGGCUCAACCUGUGUUCUUCUGCUUGAUUGAUGGAGACCCGGAAUUCCUUAGGAAUUUGCAAUGGCUUUGCACUGAGUUGAAAUUAUGACUGCAAAACACUGGUUAAUAUUACAGAAAAACCCCAGACAAAGAAGUAAUCAAAGGCUACGGUCUUUGCAGGAAAAACAUAAGUUUUUGCCUGCAAUGAAAAGAUGAAUGGAUUAUAAACGCUGGCAACAGGCUCACUGAGUGAGAACUAUUCAGAACAAUCAUUAAUGGAGGUGCUGGCAUUAAGAAAAUGCUGAGCCCAGGAUGUUACUGAGUAGGACAAAGAUUUUACAUGAAGAGUCCUGGGAAUGGAAAGUAUUAUUCUUUUAAAUAUUUUUUUAUUUUUAAUUAUUAUGGAUACAGAAUAGUCAUGUAUAUUUAUGGGGUACAUGUGAUGUUUUGAUUCAGGUAUACAGUGUGUAAUAAUCCAAUCAGAAUAAUUGAGAUCCAUCACUUUAUGUGUUUGUCAUUUCUUUGUAUUAGGAACAUCCCAAUUUCACUGUUUUAGUUACUUUUGAAUAUACAAUACAUUAUUGCUAACUACAAUCUCCAGAUUGUGCCACUGAAUACAAUAUCUUAUUUAUUCCAGCUAAUUGUA